rnacentral:misc_RNA from 1 species
UGAGUCUCUUGUUGGCCUUUGCUUCUCCAAGAUGAGCUCUGAGUCUAGCUUGGUAUUCUUUGAAGUAGGCCACUUCUUUCCACAAGGGGAUGACAGACAGCACAUCCGAAGUCACAUGAUCCAGCCCCGUCCCCGCUGAGGCAAAGCAGACGGCGGUGGCGAAGUCCUCUAUCCCGUACGCCGGAUCAAAAUACGCCGGCACGAUCGGUCCAAGCCCGAACGCCUCGGCGUAAAAGUCGGUCCCUAGCCGACCAUUGCUGAACCUCCCCGUCG